CAAAGACACACAAGCUUUCUGUAGUAGUGACUCCGACGUGAGGAAGUGCUCAUCUCUAGUGCCCCAACCCCCCCAAAAAAAAACCAAGAGGCAAAGUUGACCUUUCUUCCCCACCCUGGAUACCACCUUGAAAAGUGGGUGUGGGUCGAAUGCAAUUCAGGUUUGGACAGGGACAACUGGCUGGCCCGCCUGUGUGGGCGGGGUUUCCAUCUUUGCUGCUGUGUCAAUAGGGACUCAAGGCCAUGGCCCCUCAGAGUGACUGCUGCAGCUUCCAGGACAGGAGGAGGAGCUCAAAAGCCCACAGAGCAGACCUGCACGUGUGGAAAGGUGGAGGCCAGUCACAGGCGUCCUGCAGUCCUUCCACAGCAGAAAGCGGGCACAGGAUGCCGGGAGCCUGCCCGGGUGCGGUUUCUACACAAAAUCUCUCCAUGUGUCUCAGCACCACCGUGUCGCUGUCGAGGCACACGCCAACGUCCUUCUCAGCGAAUGGUUUGCUGCACUUAAUUUCCAGCCAUGAUUAAAAACAGCACUUUGCCUCUUGUACCCCUGGAUCCUCACUUUCAGAAGGGCGUUUUUUUUUUCUGUCUCUUCAAAUGGCUUCUCUUUGAUAUGGAAAGAAUUAAGUUGCUUUCACUUGGUCUAUUUCCACUCUCCCAUCUGAAAGUGUUCAACCCUGAGAUACAGGCAGCAAGGCCAUGCCAGGACAACAAGGUCACUAGGAGAUGAAGCUGGCAUUUGGGUUUGUGGGGACCAUAAACUCCUAAAUAGUAAAGAGUUGGACCCGAGUGAGAGACUGGACUGAACUGAACUGAGCCCACCAUUAGGAAGGAAAGUCCUCAGCAGCAAACCUCUGCCGGGACUGGGGUCUGAUUGCAAGCUGUGUGCCCUCAGGCUGAGCUGACACUCCCUGCAGAGGGCCGCCAGGCCUGCUCUGGGAGUCAGAGCGGCGCUGCGUCAAACAGAGCUGGGGAGACAGGGAUUUUCACUGUUACCAGGGACGGAAACACCGAGAGGUCAAGGAGGCUCGUCACACACCCAGAAAACACACCCAGCUUUCAGAAGCAGAGCACUGCUGCAGGGCUGACAUUUGGGGCCCGCCCUCAGAACCUGCCCCUUCAACGGCUCCGUACUCCAGGGAAGGCCUCCUCAGCUUCAAGGCGCCAGGAGUCAUAAAUCCAUAUUUAAUUAGCUCUGAAUGAAACGCUGAAGGUGAUAGGAUCUUUGUGCUGAAAAUGAAACCCGAAUGGGUCUGGGUGAUUUAUGUCUAAUUCAGACUUGUAAUUUAAUUAAAACGACAUACUGAAUUUAAAAAAAGCCUCUCUGGCAGAGUCCUUCCCACCUGAAAUUCAAAUGCACCGUGUGCUCUGUCG
ensembl:lncRNA